AUAAAAGCCUAUUAAUGCACUCCUAAGGAUUGAGGUUCUUGCCAGCAGAGCCAUCUGUCAAGAGAUUACAGAGAAGGAAAUUUCUGCAGGAAUCUUCCCCUGGGACGAGAUAAAGUGCCAAGAAAAGGUGUGUGGCAUCAGGAGUGAGGACAAACUCCGAGAGUCCUCUGCAGUGCUUAUCGCAGACAGAGAGGAAACCAUCCACCCACUGGCAGUCAGGGAAGAGGAAGAGAAGAGAGGGAAGUCUCUGGAUUGCUUUUGACCAGAGAAGUGAGGUCGUAUUGAAAAGAGUUUACAAAAACAAAUUCCUUAUAAGCAUUUUCCAUUUAUGUCUCAGAAUCCACUCUUCACCAUUCUGCAUCCUGCUCUCUGCUCUGGAGACUCCCUGGGAACUGUAUCCAUGGUCUCCUGCCUUCCAGACUGGGGUUGGAUUUGUCCAUUGUGAGAUGAAAAAAGUGAACUCAGAAUGGUUGGCCGAAUGCGGUGGCUCAUGCCUGUAAUCCUAGCACUUCGGGAGGCUGAGGUGGGCAGAUUGUGUGAGGUCAGGAUUUCAAGAUCAGCUUGAUCAACAUGGCGAAACCCCGUCUCUACUAAAAAUACAAAAAUUAGCCAGGUAUGGUGGUGCACACCUGUAGUCCCAGCUAUUCAGGAGGCUGAGGCACAAGAGAAUUGCUUAAACCCAGCAGGCAGAGGUUGCAGUGAGCUGAGAUUGCGCCACUGCACUCCUGCCUGGGUGACAGAUGGAGACACUAUCUCAAAGCAAACAAAAAAUCGUUAAGAGAUUUAUACAAUUAACAGUGACUGAGUGGCACUGUCAGGAUUUAUAUUUCAGCAUUUAAAAAAAUCACUCUGCCUCAUUUAGCAAUUGGAUAAUCACAAGUGAUCCAACUUUUAUUUCUCAGACUAGUUAGAAACAUCAGUCUGAAAUUAAUUUCUCUACCACUGAAUUCAUUGUUUUUUUAAACUUAUGCUCACAGCAAAGGAUGAGGAACAAGUUACCAUAGCAUUUAUUCCAUGCAUGUUGAGCUGUAGAAUCCUACAGAAUUUGUUAUCCAAUGUGUUAAAAAUCAUCUAGCUUUAUAACAAAAAACCAAGAGUUGACCACAUUUUCAAAAAAGCGUAAUAACUGUCUUGAAACAUGUCCUGAAUACAACUAUAAUAAGAUGUCUUAAUUAUAACUUACUUUUAAGAAUUAUUUGAACUUCAUUUUUAGGUUAAAUAAUAAAAAUUUGUUAAAGAUUUUAACAAUAUUGAAUUACAUAUAUUGUCUAACUCAAUAAUGUUGACCAAACUCUCAAUGAGAGAGUUUUAAAAAUCAUGUGGCAAACCCUUUAGCAGAAGUGUUUCUGUAUUAUAUUUGUUAACUAGAAAAAGAUGCUACUUUACUAUUAAUUUAGAGAACAAAUGCAAAAGAUAUAAAGUAAAUUUAGGCACAAUGCAAAAUGUUGAGGGGUUUUAAAUCUUAGGAGUAGUCUUGUGGGAAAUAAUUGUUUAGGUCUUGAAAAUUUAAACCUUCUACACAUUUUGCUAAAACAUGAUAUGUCCAAUAUCUCUACUCUUUCCUCAAACAUGAAUAGCUUCGUAAAAAGGUGUUCAUUCACUUAAGGACAUCCGUGAGUUUCCUUAAAUACGGAAAAGGCAAAAAACAUGAAAGAUGAGAAUGAACUCCAGUGUAAAUACAGAUAAAUAUGGCGACAGCUGUUGCUGAAUAGUUACAGAAUUAGCUUGAGAAAUGAAACCUCUGUAGUUCACACACAGGCACACACAUACACACACACACACUUUGGAUUUAUUUAUGAAACAGCAUCUUCUAAACACAGAACCUUGCAUUGCAGAAAAGGCAAUUAAAUAGAACAGCAUGAGGUUGUCAAUCACUUCAACAACUAACAAAAGCAUUGACUAUCAAAGCAAAUAAUGUUAAUGUGCAAAAAGGUACCUUGCUAUCAAAGCAAAUAAUGUAAACAUGCAAAGGCAAAGAAUUCUCUGUAUCAAAUGUCACCAUUUUAAUGUUCACCAUUUUUGUGACUGUUUUUGCAUAUGCAUGAUACUAUAUCAGUAAUUCUGAAAUUUGAUAUAGAAUUGGCCAUUAUCAUUUCUUAGAGGAUUUGGUCAUCCUGUGAUGCUUUUGUAAGAGGUGGGGACUUUCUUUUUCCUUCUUUUCUUUCUUUUUUGUGUUGUUGCUAGUGUUAUACAAAUAAAUGGACAGUCACAGCUUA